rnacentral:rRNA from 1 species
GACGAACGCUGGCGGCGUGCUUAACACAUGCAAGUCGAACGGAAAGGCCCUGCUUUUGUGGGGUGCUCGAGUGGCGAACGGGUGAGUAACACGUGAGUAACCUGCCCUUGACUUUGGGAUAACUUCAGGAAACUGGGGCUAAUACCGGAUAGUAGCUCCUGCUGCAUGGUGGGGGUUGGAAAGUUUCGGCGGUUGGGGAUGGACUCGCGGCUUAUCAGCUUGUUGGUGGGGGAGUGGCUUACCAAGGCUUUGACGGGUAGCCGGCCUGAGAGGGUGACCGGCCACAUUGGGACUGAGAUACGGCCCAGACUCCUACGGGAGGCAGCGGUGGGGAAUAUUGCACAAUGGGCGGAAGCCUGAUGCAGCAACGCCGCGUGCGGGAUGACGGCCUUCGGGUUGUAAACCGCUUUCGCCUGUGACGAAGCGUGAGUGACGGUAAUGGGUAAAGAAGCACCGGCUAACUACGUG